CCCAGAUCCUAAGAUUUUAAAUGAAAAUAAUCUUAUGGUCUCUGAGUACUUUAAUAUACCAGGCACUAAUCUGGACUCUCAAAGCUCAGAUAGCUUUGUCUCUUCUGAUACUGAAAAUCAGCUCAGUUCAGAUGUAUAUGAAAUCAGGAAUUAGCUAGUGGUCACAAAACCAAAUUUUUGCAAACUGACUUCUUUUCCUUUUAAAUUCUCUAAUGAGAUUAAUUUGAUAUGUUGUUCUUUUUUAAUAGCUUGUCAGAUGUAGAUGUCCAUAUGGAAAAUUUUCCAAGUGGAGUUGCUAAUUUCCACCGAUAUCCUAAGCGCGAAUUCCCUCCUACCAGCGUAUCAACCAUCGACUCUCCAUCCACUUUGCACCCUGCAACCUCUCAGUCCUCUGAUACCCAAGGGGCUUCAAAAUCUCCUGGGGAAGAAU
rnacentral:lncRNA from 1 species